UGUAAAUGUGAUAGACGACAGCAUUCAGAUGCUAUUUCACAAAAUUCAUGUUAAUUAGCUACACUAGGGUAGAUUUGUGCCAGUGACUGGUGACAGUUGACAGGCACAGGUGUAAAUAAUAAAAUAACUGAUGGAUGAAUUCCAUUUAGCUGCUUUGGUCUCAGGUUCCCACUAUUGUUCAUGCUGUAACUCACUUUCAUACAACACUGAGUCAUCAUUAACGUUAUUAAUAACAUCUGUGCUUUGCCUGCUGUGCGCCUACUAUCUGGCAACAUCAACACUAAACUUUCACCCCGUGCUGCUUGUUAAGGCUUUAAAACUCAAAAAUGAAACUCUGAAAUAGCAGUUUUGGUAUAAAGUUGCUAAGUUGUUCAGCUCUUCUCUCAAACACACUCACUCCUUGCUGUGUGUUUGUUUCUUUUCCGACUUGUUCUGUAACAGCGUGUCUCUACCUCUGCCUCCUUGCCUGUCAUUUGAAUUUCAUCUUUCCCACUUCUUUGUCUCUCCUUCCCUUGCAUUUCUCUCUCUCCGUCUCUGCCACUCUCUCACCACUAGACACAUACUGUAUACACUUGCCGUCUCUGAACAUUAGUUCACUUCCCUGUCUGGCUUUAAACAUCGGCCCCGGAUUGGCUGUUGACCCGAUGGGUUUCCUUUUGCACGUGUGCACACACACACACAUAAAUCACACACAUCAUGCCCACACAGUGUAUGAGCGCAGAAAUACUCCCACACAAAUCAGCACAUCAGCACACAUGCACUCACCCAUGCUUGCAGACAUAGGUACACACACACACACACACACACACUUGCGCACAGUAAAGACUGAAUUAUUGGCAGGGCUGGAGUGACAGGCCUCUCUUCACCAACUCAUUCAUGCUCUGCUGACGAUUGUGUUAUGCAUGGCCCAUUUGCUACGUGGAUCAUAAAGUGCAAUAAGGACAGAGUUAAGCAGGGACAGACACACAUACACACACUUAAACCCACGCUCACAUGAAUACACACUGAAGUGCACACUUGGACACGCGCUGACUUUUUUUUCCUCCCCGACACGAUAUUGCAUAAUCGCAGAAUCUGUCUAAAUCUCUCUCCCCGUCUCUGUCCAUGUCCCCCCCUGUCAGUUUUCUUCCCUCUCUCUCCUGUAUCACUGACUCCCAUGUCCACAAGAGUAACAUUAAUAGUGUGGUGGCAGAAGGGUGAGUAAAGCUUAAAAAGGACAGAAGGAGAAAGUAAAAGGAAAAAAAGCACAGGAAGAGAAGCUAUUAGUAGUCUGACAGCUAAUGGAGGUCUGAGUAAAAAUAACAUUUUAAAACAAAUGAAGUGCAGAAGAAAAAGCAUGAAAGAAAAAAGAAAGGAAAGCUAAGAGGACGGUGUAAACUGGGUUUCACAUUGCAACAUCAACCUUUAUGCAGGGACCACAACUAGAGUAAAACAAUCACAGAGCACUUGACAAAGAGUCCCACAAAAAUAGAUGCACAAUUGGUUUCUAGUUCCAAAAAAAAAAAAAAAUGAAAAGAAACAUAAGAUAUUGCUUGAUAUUUUAUCUGCCACCAGGGGGCAGCAGAACAAACUGUACGCACAACCUAUCAAAAGUUGCCUGUCCCCAGCAGAUACAGAGCUACAUUAACAUUUAUAAUUCUGUUUCCAGCCAUCCAACAACAAACAACAAACCUGACAUCCACUAACUCUGCUAACAGCAGCCAGACGACUGCAACUGACAACAAAGAGAAGGCAUCGGCAGCAAAGCCCCAAGAACAGGAG